CAAGUAAUGCCUUCUGUUUUAUAUGUGUCUCAAACAAACUUCACAGAAUUCUCAAUAUCUUGUCUAUACAAAAACUUUGUCUGCCUUCCAUCAGUAAUAUGUAAGCCUGAAACAAAGAUUCACAACAAAUUCUAGUUUGGAUCUCAAUCGGUUAAUCCCCCUCUCAAGGUAUUUUAGCUGUUUAAUAGAUAGAUAUACAUCCAUUAAGCCAAAGUAAUUUUAGAAGAAAUUGGUAAG
rnacentral:lncRNA from 1 species